CCUAGGGGGGCAGCAGUGAGGAAUAUUGGUCAAUGGGCGCGAGCCUGAACCAGCCAAGUAGCGUGAAGGAUGACUGCCCUACGGGUUGUAAACUUCUUUUGUACAAGGGUAAACCUGAAUACGUGUAUUCAGCUGAAAGUACUGUACGAAUAAGGAUCGGCUAACUCCGUGCCAGCAGCCGCGGUAAUACGGAGGAUGCGAGCGUUAUCCGGUUUUAUUGGGUUUAAAGGGUGCGUAGGCGGACUGUUAAGUCAGCGGUAAAAGCCCGGGCUCAACCCCAGCGAGCCGUUGAAACUGGCUGUCUUGAGAUGUCGAGAGGUAUGCGGAAUGCGCAGUGUAGCGGUGAAAUGCUUAGAUAUUGCGCAGAACUCCGAUUGCGAAGGCAGCAUACCGGCGGCGAUCUGACGCUGAGGCACGAAAGCGUGGGUAUCGAACAGGAUUAGAUACCCUAGUAGUC
rnacentral:rRNA from 1 species